AUUGAACGCUGGCGGCAUGCCUUACACAUGCAAGUCGAACGGUAACGGGCCUUCGGGUGCCGACGAGUGGCGAACGGGUGAGUAAUACAUCGGAACGUGCCCGAUCGUGGGGGAUAACGAGGCGAAAGCUUUGCUAAUGCCGCAUACGAUCUACGGAUGAAAGCAGGGGACCGCAAGGCCUUGCGCGGACGGAGCGGCCGAUGGCAGAUUAGGUAGUUGGUGGGAUAAAAGCUUACCAAGCCGACGAUCUGUAGCUGGUCUGAGAGGAUGAUCAGCCACACUGGGACUGAGACACGGCCCAGACUCCUACGGGAGGCAGCAGUGGGGAAUUUUGGACAAUGGGCGCAAGCCUGAUCCAGCCAUGCCGCGUGCAGGAUGAAGGCCUUCGGGUUGUAAACUGCUUUUGUACGGAACGAAAAGCCUUCUUUUAAUACAGGAGGGUCAUGACGGUACCGUAAGAAUAAGCACCGGCUAACUACGUG
rnacentral:rRNA from 1 species